AAAAUAAAGUGGUUUUCAUUGAUAUACAUUAAACUAGAAAUUCUUUACCAACGUGGGAUAUUUGGCAGACUGAAAAAAAACACACUCCACAGUGGGCUAUACCACUAGUAUGGUUCUUUACUGUCUUGUGGCCUACCAU
ensembl:snoRNA